rnacentral:rRNA from 1 species
UACAGAGGGCCCAAGCGUUGUUCGGAUUCAUUGGGCGUAAAGGGUGCGUAGGCGGCGCGGUAAGUCGGGUGUGAAAUCUCGGAGCUUAACUCCGAAGCUGCAUUCGAUACUGCCGUGCUUGAGGACUGGAGAGGAGACUGGAAUUUACGGUGUAGCGGUGAAAUGCGUAGAUAUCGUAAGGAAGACCAGUGGCGAAGGCGGGUCUCUGGACAGUACCUGACGCUGAGGCACGAAGGCCAGGGGAGCAAACGGA